UAAAAUCAAGGAAAAAGAAAACUCGAUUUGCUCAAUAUUUGUUAAUCAUAUUCCUAGGAAUUCCCAACCUGCAAACAUAUUUUUACAUAACCAAAAAUACACAGCAGUCAAUAAGCUAAGGGUCCAGCCAGCGUUAUACAUAGCUGUCGCAAUCGCUCCUAUCUAUCCACACGGCUGGCUGGCUCGCGAGAUUAUAUAGCGAAUGGAAACUGAUCCACGCACGGCGAGCAACCAAAACACCUGAGAAGUACAGCAGCAGAAUUACAGCAGGCAGCAGUCAUCAGGAAGCUACACACAGCAGAUCAGCGGGUAACGACGGCGACGUCGACGGCGUGGGGCGGCGCCGGCGGCGCGAAGGGGAGGCUCCGGAGGACGAGGAAGCGGACCCGGCGCGGCAGGACGCGCCGCGGCGCCGCGGCAGAGAGCAGGCGCUCCACGGCGCGCGCCACCGCCGCCGUGUAGGCCUCCAGCAGCUCCGCCAUGAUCGACACGAGUAUCAUGUCUUCUCUGGAUGAGGGGUCUUUUUGUGAGUGUACGUGUGGAGUUUACGCUGGGUUCUGUCCUCUUCCGUUGCUUCCUUUAUUCUCUUCCUGCCACUCUGCUCUGCCUCUUCUUUCGAAAAAUCGAACGGAGGGUCUCGUUCUAUGAAUUCCUUUUUUUUUUCAGGGAUCAUUGUACGGAUUCCUUCUUUACGGUAGUCCAUUGCAGUUAAUAACGGCGAGCUUAUCCUGUUUCAGGUGUGACGUGGGGCCGGUGGGGUCCGCCCUGUUGCGGAAAGAUCUUUGUUCCUCCGGCGCUAAAAGGCACUGCACCCACCUGGAGCAACUCGAUUUUUUGUAGAAAAAGAAAAUAUCAGCUUGACUGAAACCGAAUUUUGAGAAAAGCUUAUAGCUAAACAAAUGUUGAUGUGGAAGAGAAAAGAUAAAAGAGAGAUGAUAGCUUAGCUCUCAUGCAAGCACCAAGCUGUAGUGGUGGAUCCAAAUAGCAAGUAUUGUGAGGAGGAAUAAAAAAGAGAAGGUGUCUUAUAGACAAGUAUAUAUGAGACAACUUACUAUAUAUAACUUGGCUCUAAUCACUUGGCUUUAUUAUUGACUUUGCUCUAACUGCAUCAUGACACAUGUAUUAACGCAACCAUCGACGCCAUAUGUAUUGGCGCAACCGUCGACCGAGGGGCAAUUUAAAUAUUUGCUUCCCUUACGGAUGGCUCCUCGUCACUUGCCCCUCUUAUAAGUGCAAUUAAAGAUUUGCC
rnacentral:lncRNA from 1 species